UACAGGGGGGGCAAGCGUUGUUCGGAAUUACUGGGCGUAAAGGGUCUGUAGGUGGCCAACUAAGUCAGACGUGAAAUCCCUCAGCUUAACUGGGGAACUGCGUCUGAUACUGGAUGGCUUGAGUGUGGGAGAGGAAUGCGGAAUUCCAGGUGUAGCGGUGAAAUGCGUAGAUAUCUGGAGGAACACCAGUGGCGAAAGCGGCUUCCUGGUCCAGCACCGACAUUCAGGCACGAAAGCGUGGGGAGCAAACAGG
rnacentral:rRNA from 1 species